rnacentral:rRNA from 1 species
UACGUAGGGUGCGAGCGUUGUCCGGAAUUAUUGGGCGUAAAGAGCUCGUAGGCGGUGUGUCACGUCGGCCGUGAAAACCUGCAGCUUAACUGUGGGCGUGCGGUCGAUACGGGCAUCACUGGAGUUCGGCAGGGGAGACUGGACUUCCUGGUGUAGCGGUGAAAUGCGCAGAUAUCAGGAGGAACACCGGUGGCGAAGGCGGGUCUCUGGGCCGAUACUGACGCUGAGGAGCGAAAGCGUGGGGAGCGAACAGG